rnacentral:rRNA from 1 species
AGUGAACGCUGGCGGUAGGCCUAACACAUGCGAGUCGAACGGCAGCACAGUAAGAGCUUGCUCUUACGGGUGGCGAGUGGCGGACGGGUGAGGAAUACAUCGGAAUCUACUUUUUCGUGGGGGAUAACGUAGGGAAACUUACGCUAAUACCGCAUACGACCUACGGGUGAAAGCAGGGGAUCUUCGGACCUUGCGCGAUUGAAUGAGCCGAUGUCGGAUUAGCUAGUUGGCGGGGUAAAGGCCCACCAAGGCGACGAUCCGUAGCUGGUCUGAGAGGAUGAUCAGCCACACUGGAACUGAGACACGGUCCAGACUCCUACGGGAGGCAGCAGUGGGGAAUGUUGGACAAUGGGCGCAAGCCUGAUCCAGCCAUACCGCGUGGGUGAAGAAGGCCUUCGGGUUGUAAAGCCCUUUUGUUGGGAAAGAAAAGCAGCAGGUUAAUACCCCGCUGUUCUGACGGUACCCAAAUAAUAAGCACCGGCUAACUUCGUG